CGCUCGUUGAAAUCUACUCAAAAGUGAGUAGGAUUCUACUCACUUUAGUAUUUCAUCGAAAAUGUCAAAAACUGAGUGACAUUAUUUUUCCAAAGAGAGUAGAUUUCUACUCAAUUGCAUUAGUUUGGGGAUGAACUCACUUUUGAGUAGCAUCAUUCAAAUUCAUCUUCGGUAACGGUCAGCAGUUUGCCGUAAAAAUGAAAUUUGCGGAUAACUUUUUUUUUAUGAAUUUAUCAUUCUUUUAAGCGAUAACUAUUCCUGCAUUACAAGGUGAGUAGUUUUCUUUAAAUUUGAUAUUGUUUUGAAACAUAAUAUUAAAUAUUCAAGGUUGUUAUGGAUGUCGAACGACGGAUCCAAGUUGACGGACAAGAUGUCACUUAUUUUUUCCUGCUAAGUGAUAAUCAUGGCAACAACAAUUAAUUCCGGAACCUUCACCGUAGCCAGCAUGAGGCCGACCAGCCCGAAAACCGAGAACCACUCCAUACCAUCCCCUUCAUCCUAGAUCAUCACAAUGGCAUAUGUCUUUGCAGAUUUGGAAUUAGUGUAACAAAUCAUUAAUUGUAAAAUUAUUGCUAAAUAUAUAAAUAAACAUGUUCUUUCAUUA